rnacentral:lncRNA from 1 species
CAGGUUUGUAAAUGAUGUUGUACAUCAUGCAGAUAGCUCAGAAGAAGAAGCAGGAAUGUUUGACUGGAAAUAUAAACAAUGUUGUACAUAAUGCAGAUAGCUUAGGCAAAAAAGAGAUUGGUGAAAUGGAGAAUAAGACUAACUACGGUGAAAAAAAUAAUGAAUAUCAAAAUGUGAAUGGUACUUUGUUUGACAUCUGCCUGUUUCUACAGAUACAG